rnacentral:rRNA from 1 species
GACGAACGCUGGCGGCGUGCCUAAUACAUGCAAGUAGAACGCACAGUUUAUACCGUAGCUUGCUACACCAUAGACUGUGAGUUGCGAACGGGUGAGUAACGCGUAGGUAACCUGCCUGGUAGCGGGGGAUAACUAUUGGAAACGAUAGCUAAUACCGCAUAAUAUUGAUUAUUGCAUGAUAAUUGAUUGAAAGAUGCUAUUGCAUCACUACCAGAUGGACCUGCGUUGUAUUAGCUAGUAGGUGAGGUAACGGCUCACCUAGGCGACGAUACAUAGCCGACCUGAGAGGGUGAUCGGCCACCCUGGGACUGAGACACGGCCCAGACUCCUACGGGAGGCAGCAGUAGGGAAUCUUCGGCAAUGGACGAAAGUCUGACCGAGCAACGCCGCGUGAGUGAAGAAGGUUUUCGGAUCGUAAAGCUCUGUUGUAAGAGAAGAACGGGUGUGAGAGUGGAAAGUUCACACUGUGACGGUAUCUUACCAGAAAGGGACGGCUAACUACGUG